UACAGCCACAUCACUUUGAAAACACCGGUUACAGUACGAUCACUGAAGUUAAGCAACGUCGAGCCAGGUCAGUACCCAGAUGGUGACUAUCAGUGAACACCAGGUGCU